rnacentral:pre_miRNA from 1 species
AAUAGGAUUACUGAGUCAUAUAGUGUUUAAUUUUACAAGAAACUGCCAAAUUGAUUUUCAGAAUAACUUCACAAUUUUGCAUUCCCAAUAGUAAU